rnacentral:rRNA from 1 species
UUCCGGUUGAUCCAGCCGGAAGCUACUGCUAUCGGGAUUCGAUUAAGCCAUGCGAGUCGAGAGGGUUCGGCCCUCGGCUGACGGCUCAGUAACACGUGGAUAACCUGCCCUCAGGUAGGGGAUAAUCUCGGGAAACUGAGGACAAUACCCUAUAGACAUCCUUUGCUGGAAUGCUUGGAUGUUCAAAGGCAACGCCUGAGGAUGGGUCUGCGGCCUAUCAGGUUGUAGUGGGUGUAACGGACCCACUAGCCUACGACGGGUACGGGCCUUGAAAGAGGUAGCCCGGAGAUGGACUCUGAGACACGAGUCCAGGCCCUACGGGGCGCAGCAGGCGCGAAAACUUCGCAAUGCGGGAAACCGUGACGAGGGAAUCCCGAGUGCUCAUACAAUGUAUGGGCUUUUAUGAUGUGUAAAAAGCAUUAGGAAUAAGGGCUGGGUAAGACCGGUGCCAGCCGCCGCGGUAAUACCGGCAGCUCUAGUGGUAGCCACUUUUAUUGGGCCUAAAGCGUUCGUAGCCGGUCAGGUAAAUCCUUGGGUAAAUCGUACAGCUUAACUGUGCGGAUUCCGAGGAGACUGCUUGACUAGGGACCGGGAGAGGUUGGAGGUACUCCUGGGGUAGGGGUGAAAUCCUGUAAUCCUAGGUGGACCACCGGUGGCGAAGGCGUCCAACCAGAACGGCUCCGACGGUGAGGGACGAAGGCUAGGGGCGCAAACCGGAUUAGAUACCCGGGUAGUCCUAGCUGUAAACGCUGCAGACUUGGUGUUGGAGAUCCUACGAGGGUGUCCAGUGCCGAGAGAAGUUGUUAAGUUUGCCGCCUGGGAAGUAUGGCCGCAAGGCUGAAACUUAAAGGAAUUGGCGGGGGAGCACGCAACGGGAGGAGCGUGCGUUUAAUUGGAAUCACGCCGAAAUCUC